rnacentral:rRNA from 1 species
CCCUUAGAUGUUCUGGGCCGCACGCGCGCUACACUGAUGCAUUCAACGAGUCUAAAACCUGCUCUGAUAGGGGUGGGUAAUCUUUUGAAUGUGCAUCGUGAUUGGGAUAGAUGAUUGCAAUUUUUCAUCUUCAAUGAGGAAUGCCUAGUAAACGCAAGUCAUCAGCUUGCAUUGAUUACGUCCCUGCCCUUUGUACACACCGCCCGUCGCUCCUACCGAUUGAAUGAUCCGAUGAAUAUCAUGGAUUGAGGAUGCAAGUAGGUUCGCCUAUCUUCAUCUUCGAGAAGUGAAGUAAAUCUUAUCAUUUAGAGGAAGGAGAAGUCGUAACA